AACGAACGCUGGCGGCAUGCCUAACACAUGCAAGUCGAACGAGACCUUCGGGUCUAGUGGCGCACGGGUGCGUAACGCGUGGGAACCUGCCCUUAGGUUCGGAAUAACUCCCCGAAAGGGGUGCUAAUACCGGAUAAUGUCUUCGGACCAAAGAUUUAUCGCCUUUGGAUGGGCCCGCGUUGGAUUAGCUAGUUGGUAGGGUAAAAGCCUACCAGGGCGAUGAUCCAUAGCUGGUCUGAGAGGAUGAUCGACCACACUGGGACUGAGACACGGCCCAGACUCCUACGGGAGGCAGCGGUGGAGAAUAUUGGACAAUGGGCGAAAGCCUGAUCCAGCACUGCCGCGUGAGUGAUGAAGGCCUUAGGGUUGUAAAGCUCUUUUACCCGGGAUGAUAAUGACAGUACCGGGAGAAUAAGCUCCGGCUAACUCCGUG
rnacentral:rRNA from 1 species